AGUCCGCUGGUGGAAGACAGGACACAGGCUGGAAAGUGCCUUCCAACACCACCCAGCCACCACGGCCAGGCUGGAAGGACAGCACACCCCAGCCACUCAGGAGUCACUUCGGACAGCCCACCUAGGGGCUUAAGUCCCAGUGGGACAUGCCCACCCAGGCUGCCUCAGCUGCCCACGGGGCCUCCAACCACAGCCACAGGCUCCACAGGUAUGACCACCCUGCCCAACUCAGUCCGCUUGGGCCAUCCAGUUGGCCGCAGAGCAGAAGGAUGGCGAUCAAACCACAGAACAGAGUAUGUGGACAGGUGGGCGGGGCACUGCAGAGUGGAGGGUGGACCUGGAGGGUGCCUGGGAAUCCACACACACCAAGGCUGGACCUCACAAGAGGAGGGGCGGGCACGCUACACUCUGAAGUCUGAAUCGUCCCUGGCCAGCCUGUGGCUGCUCUCACCUUUCCUUUGCUGCAGUGUGUGUCAAACACAUGAAUGAAUGAGCAAAUGAGUGAAUCAGUCCCUGCCACCAGACCCCACAGGGUUACAUCAAGGCCACCGAGGCUCAGCCGGGACAGGACUGGCCGGUAUCACACAAUCGGUGGGGGGAGGGCAUCACACCCGGACUUCUGCACACAGGGCCUCUUUGCCAGAGGCUGGGCUGGAGCUCGACCCCAGGGCCACCUGGCUCACCUCAUCUGUCCCCAUAGCCACCUUUCAGUCCCCACCAUGGCCACCAUCCCCUUGUCCCCCACCUCCGUCCCCACAGCCACCCUGCCCACGGAGUUGAUCGCUUGAUUAAGCGCAGCAUUUCAGUGCCCAGGGAGAAAAAUCAAUUCGCUUGGUUCCACUUUAAUCCAUCAGUUCCAUUUCUGAUAAAUGUCCCCGUGCUGGAGUCACCAUGUAGCCGCAGUGCCCCGCAGAGAUUAGCUGCUAGGUCAGGGCAGCCAGGGCGAGCAUCUGGCGAGCUGGGGCAAGCCUGGACCCUCAACUUGCCGUGACUCCCCACCCCUCUUCCCAGCACUUUACAUGGUGGUAAGUGUGGGUACAGAGGUCAGAGCCCAGCUCUGGCCCCACCUGCCAGGGCCUGGAUGAGCCCAGCUCCCAAGCUGCGAGCUGGUGACAUUGUGGGGCUGGGAUUAAAUGGGAUCUGCGGCUGCCAGGCUGGGCUUCUCAGGAAUGAGCUGGCACUGGAGGACGAGUGGAUUAGACGCGAGGUCAAUAUUUGUGGAAUUGAAUUGAAUCUGUCACUUGGGGCGUGUAUGUUCCAGGUAAUUUUGUGGUUUCUGCCUCUGGCAGGAAAACCCAACACGAUGACUGCCCCUCGCAGGCCACAGUCAGCCCGGCCCCAGGAGAGAGACCCGUGGAGCCCUAUGUCUCAGCAGGCAAGACCACCCUGGCCUGCCAUGCCUCCAUCCUAUGCCUAUAAAAACCCAAGACCCUAGCAAGGCAGAGACAGAAGCCUCUGUGUGGGGAGAGGAACACACUGGUGGAAGAAGACAAGCUGCUGGACAUCCCGAGAAUGUUGCCUGACUCCAGGGGAAAACCAUCUCCCCUCUGGCUCCCCCAUCUGCUGAGAGCUACUUCCACUCAAUAAA
rnacentral:lncRNA from 1 species